rnacentral:rRNA from 1 species
CUAGCUGUAAACGAUGGAUGCUAGGUGUUGGCGGAUUUAACCCCGUCAGUGCCGAAGCUAACGCGUUAAGCAUCCCGCCUGGGAAGUACGAUCGCAAGAUUAAAACUCAAAGGAAUUGACGGGGACCCGCACAAGCAGCGGAGCGUGUGGUUUAAUUCGAUGCUACACGAAGAACCUUACCCAGAUUUGACAUAUAGGUGGUAGUGAACCGAAAGGGGAACGACCCGCAAGGGAGCCUAUACAGGUGU